UACGUAGGGGGCAAGCGUUGUCCGGAUUUAUUGGGCGUAAAGAGCUCGUAGGCGGCUUGGUAAGUCAGGUGUGAAACCCCCGGGCUCAACCCGGGGACGCCACCUGAUACUGCUAUGGCUUGAGUCCGGUAGGGGAGCGUGGAAUUCCUGGUGUAGCGGUGAAAUGCGCAGAUAUCAGGAGGAACACCAGCGGCGAAGGCGGCGCUCUGGGCCGGAACUGACGCUGAGGAGCGAAAGCGUGGGGAGCGAACGGG
rnacentral:rRNA from 1 species